rnacentral:lncRNA from 1 species
UGAGUGCUCUUGCUGGUACUGAUAUUGAAGUUAUGGUUGCCAUUCCCAAUGAUCAGCUUUCUGCUAUGAAUGAUUAUGAUCGAGCUAAAGAUUGGGUCAGACGCAAUGUCACCCGCUACAAUUUCAAAGGAGGUGUCAAUAUCAAGUAUGAUUCAUUACACCUUUCUUUUUUGUUCUUGGUUAAUUUGAUGUGUUUUAUGAUCUAUACUGACGAUCUGCACCACAUUGAGCAUUUGUUGAAGGAGUGGCUGGCUCCUCUUGUGCUCUUCCUGCUUAUUAGUGUUGCUUGUAAAGCAAAUGUGGGAUAUGAUUCCCUUUGACACCUUUCUUUUUUGUUCUUGAUUUGUUUUAUGAUCUAUACUGAUGAUCUGCACCACAUUGAGCAUUUGUUGAAGGAGUGGCUGGCUUCUCUUGUGCUCUUCCUGCUUAUUAGUGUUGCUUGUAAAACAAAUGUGGGAUAUGAUUCCCUUUGCUCUAAAUUGCUUCAAAUGCUUUGUUGUUAGUUAGGAAUAUGUAUUAAAGGAAAUGGCUUUGCAAAUACACUUAGGCAGUAAAGUGAAAAAUGGAUAAAAAAUAUAUUUCCCCUUACAAAGUCGGGUGAGCCUUGAUGCAACAGUAGAGUUGCUCUUUUCUUGGCUCAUAGGUCUGGGGUUUGAGUGCGUCGGAACAAUCUCUUUGUUCUCUCCAUAGGAGGGCGACCCCUGAUGCAACAGUAGAUUUGCUACUUUUGUGGCUCAUAGGUCAGGGGUUCGGGGCACGGAAACAACCUCUUUGUAGAAAUGCAAGAGGAAGGUGGCAUAUGAUGUACGUCCACCUUUCCCCUAUGCUCGCACUAGCCACAAAGCAUUUAUUUCACGAGUUAAGUCCUUUUGACUUUGGAGUGCAUAUUCUCUCUUCCAAAAUUUCCUUAAAAAGUUAUUGCUUUUCCCUUUUGGAAUGUAGUUAUCCAAAUGGGAGAACCAUUGCUAGUAUAUGUUUCCUUCAGUAAUCAUAUUCAUUUCUUUUUUCUUUUCUUCUUUAUAGCUGCAAAUAACCAACCUUUGUGUGGUCUAUAGAACAUGUUCCAGUGCGAGAAUGUACAACUUCUGGUUCAUCUUUAAGCAGAGGAUCUUUUGUUUUUGGAAAAAAAUUUUGGAAAAAAAAAAAAGAAGUUCAGGAGGGUUAUUGAAGAGCAGCAGUAUGACUAUUCUCUUAUUUGCGAUCAUCAUUUUGGCUCUUCCUGUCUAUUCUUUGUGUAUUCACUUUAUUUCAAACUGAAACGUGGGGUUUUACUUUGAAAUUAAGCUAGUGUUUGGCUGAAGUUAUGGUUAGCUUUUAGUUUCGAACCCUGACAUAGACAAAAGCCUGCUAUUUAACUGGAUACGGGUAGAGGUGGGGCGGAGUUUCGAAUUGUGCGCCACUGGUUCUUGGGAAUUUUACAAUUAUCCGCAGAAAAAGAAAAGAAAACAAGUAGUUAUGAUUAGCUUGAUCCUUAUCUUUUAGGAAACAAAGUGAAGGAAGAUAGAGAGAUAAUUUCUCACAAAACAUCUGCUUUCCUUAUAUUAAAAAAAGAUGGUGAGAUACAUCCAUGAAAUCCAAUCAUUUGGAAGUCUUAUGGCUUUGAAAUGGUAUAUAAAGUAUCCGAUAGUAUGAUCAAACAAUACUGACUUUAAAAGCCAAACUAUGCAUUUAAUUCUGCAGUAGGUAUAACUCUUUAAACUGUACUUUAACUUCUUUCCUUUGUAUGUGAGAAUCCUUUGUCAUCUGCAUUCUGUACUGGAUCUUUAGUUCUGUCAUUCGAAGUAAUGAAAUACAAGACCAUAUGGCACUAAUAAAUGGUCCUUCAAAAUUGAAGAAAUCAUUUCGUAGACAGUUUGCGUUUGUAUUGUGUAAAAGCAUUUUAUUGCUACUGUCUUUGUAAUAGCUCUGCACCCACUUUUAUCAACAAAAUAUUGCUGACAGUUCACAGCAGAAAAGUAUGUAAAGUUUAUUUCAAACAUUUAUAUAGUUCAUCUAGCUGAUUUCUGUACAAAAUUUAUGUCUUUAUCUCUGCAGGUAUGUUGCAGUCGGUAAUGAGCCUUUCUUGACAUCGUACAACAACUCCUUUAUUAACACGACCUUCCCAGCACUUCAGAACAUCCAAAAUGCUCUAAAUGAAGCAGGACUUGGGAACUCGAUAAAAGCAACUGUACCUCUAAAUGCCGAUGUUUAUUUCUCUCCAGAGAGCAAUCCCGUGCCCUCUGCUGGGAGAUUCCGACAGGACAUCAAUGAUCUAAUGACCCAGAUAGUGCAGUUCAUGAACCAGAACAACGCACCUUUCACAGUAAACAUUUACCCUUUUCUAAGUCUUUAUGCUAAUGAACAUUUCCCUGUUGAUUUUGCCUUCUUUAAUGAUCUAAUGACCCAGAUUGUGCAGUUCAUGAACCAGAACAACGCACCUUUCACAGUAAACAUUUACCCUUUUCUGAGUCUUUAUGCUAAUGAGCAUUUCCCUGUCGACUUUGCCUUCUUUGAUGGAGCCAGUAACCCCAUUCUUGAUAAAGGAGUCACAUACACCAAUGUAUUUGAUGCCAACUUUGAUACCCUAGUUUCAGCUUUGAGGGCAGCAGGUGUUGGCAACAUGACCAUUCUUGUUGGGGAAGUUGGGUGGCCCACCGAUGGUGACAAAAAUGCCAAUGUCAAUCUUGCUUAUCGGUUCUUUAAGGGGCUCUUGUUGGGGAAGUUGGGUGGCCCACGGAUGGUGACAAAAAUGCCAAUGUCAAUCUUGCUUAUCGGUUCUUUAAGGGGCUGUUAUCCAGGCUUGCAGCCAACACGGGAACGCCUCUUCGGCCUGGAUAUAUUGAAGUUUACUUGUUUGGGCUUAUUGACGAGGAUGGUAAAAGUAUUGCUCCUGGUAACUUUGAGCGCCACUGGGGAAUCUUCCGGUAUGAUGGACAGCCAAAGUUUGCCAUGGACCUUACAGGUCAGGGACAAGAUAAGUUUCUCGUAGGUGCACAAAAUGUGGAAUAUUUACCUAAGAAAUGGUGCAUGCUUAAUCCGAAUGCGAAGGAUUUGAGCAAACUUGCAGAUAACAUCGACUAUGCUUGCACAUUCUCAGAUUGCACGGCAUUAGGAUAUGGUUCUUCGUGC